ACACCAAUGGUGAAGCGGUUAUCAUGCUUGCCUUCCACUAUCAGAGUAAGCAAGCGGCAGGGGUUCGACUCCCCUUUGGUGUA